GUCGAGAAUCUUUCACAAUGGGGGCAACCCUGAUGGAGCGACGCCGCGUGGAGGAUAAGGUCUUCGGAUUGUAAACUCCUGUCAUGCGUGAACAAGGUUGCUUGGUUAAUACCUGGGCAAAUUGAUGGUAACGCAAGAGGAAGAGACGGCUAACUCUGUGCCAGCAGCCGCGGUAAUACAGAGGUCUCAAGCGUUGUUCGGAAUCACUGGGCGUAAAGGGUGCGUAGGUGGCGUGGUAAGUCAGAUGUGAAAGCCCGGGGCUCAACCUCGGAACUACAACCGAUACUGCCAUGCUAGAGUACUGGAGAGGUGACUAGAAUUCUCGGUGUAGCAGUGAAAUGCGUAGAUAUCGAGAGGAAUACCAAAGGCGUAGGCAGGUCACUGGACAGUUACUGACACUGAGGCACGAAGGCCAGGGGAGCGAACGGGAUUAGAUACCCGUGUAGUCC
rnacentral:rRNA from 1 species